GGCUGAAUAUUCAGAUAUAAAGUUUCCAGCAGGAAGCAAAAGUGAGUCACUCACCAGAAGAAAAUUUACAGGGCAAUUUACUGGAACCAUGGGAAACUUUCAAAAGGUACUUGUCAGAUGCAGUUGAUACUGAGGCUGUAGCUACCAGCGACAGAGAAGGAUGCUUUCCCACCCAGAGUCAGACUUGUCAACGGAUACUAGCAGCAGUCUGAAGGAAAGGUCGACUGACCACAAGAGGACCCCAAAGAGGGCAGUUUUUCAAAUCACUAGAUCUCGUUGGAGAAAGGGCAGCAGGAUAAGGAGCCUAUGUGCCAAUAAGGUCCCGUUGGUCCUCCUGUACCAGAUCCAUUUUGUGUACCAAGCAAAAGAUUUUGGCAUCUGGAGAAUUCUGCAGAAUGGCCUCUAGGCAUGAUUGGUAAUAGUGCAUAUCCUUUUCCAGUUCACGGCUUUCCACAUCAAACACAUAUAUCAGAACUUCCACAUUUCGGAAGAUGUUGUCUCGUUGGCUAGUGAAAUAAUUUUCCAUGAAGGUAUCCUGUCUAGUAGGAAAAAAACAUCUAGGUAAUAAACAAGUCCUCAGUUUAGUCACUCCUACUUACAAUUUAUUUUUGUUGGUUUAAUCAAUGUGAAAGAUAAUCUUAAAGCUUCAAAUUAAUAGGCAAAUAAUAGUAAACUGGUACAGCUUCACCUUCUUAGCUCUAUGUUUUUGUCCCUCUUUCUUUUAUUUAAAUUCAAUUUGCCAAGAUAGUGUAACAACCAAUACUCAUCUCAUCAUGUGCCCUCUUUAAUGCCCGUCAUCCAGUUACCCUAUGUCCCCGUCCACCUCCCCUUCUGC